GGUUAAGUUAAUAAGGGCGCACGGUGGAUGCCUUGGCACUAGAAGCCGAAGAAGGACGUGACAAACGACGAAAUGCUUUGGGGAGCUGUAAGUAAGCGCUGAUCCAGAGAUGUCCGAAUGGGGGAACCCACUAACUAAUGGUUAGUAUCCAUAACUGUUAAGGUUAUGAGAAGGAAGACGCAGUGAACUGAAACAUCUAAGUAGCUGCAGGAAGAGAAAGCAAACGCGAUUGCCUUAGUAGCGGCGAGCGAAACGGCAGGAGGGCAAACCGAAGUGUUUACACUUCGGGGUUGUAGGACUG
rnacentral:rRNA from 1 species